GGGGGGGCGACGAGAUGAUUAACAACAGACACGGUGUUACAGUUGUCAGUACGACAGCUCAGUGUUUGUCCCAACUCGGUUAUUUGGAAGAGGGGCGUGUCCAAACGAUCAGAUUACGCUUGCGCCUCCAGAUCAGUUUCCACUGGAUCAGUUUCCACUGGUUUUCACACCGCACCAACUAGUUUUUCAUCUUGCCACGGUGGGGACGCGUCCUAUGUCCACACAGACGAGUCGACGAUAUUCCAAUUAUGAAUUACAUUCAAACAAAAUACGUAAUAACUGCCUAAUGCCAAAGCAUUUUUGAAGACGUACCUGUAUACGGUACACCUAAACGGCCCUUACGUCAUAGUGUGCUUUUGCAGCAAUUUGCGACAGUCGUACAGCAGGAUGACGCCCUACUUGCUGGCAGCUCCCCUCCGUAGCUUCUCAAUGACGCUGAGCAACCGAAUUGCUAACCUUAUACUAAAUGUCUACAAAAACGUGGGGGCUUCCUUCAAUCUGCCAUCACAAGGUGUGGAGAAAACAUCACAGGGAUAAGCUAUACGGACUAACAUGCUUUAGACUAUGUGACCGCCAUGUUGUAGAUGGCUGUGUUUCAAAGCUCCACAAUGGGAGAGGAGGUCGAUGUACAGAGAAUGUGGAGGUGGGAGAGGUUUCUACAUCCAGACCUGGACAAGCGGAGUGACACUGCAGUGAUAUGCACAGGGCUUCUUUUUGGAAUGAGUUGAUUUCUUUUUCAUUCCCUCACAUCCCCCCACCCCCUCCUGUUGCCACAUUGACAUUCAAACUGACGACAGGGCUCUCACAGGAUCUGGCAUUGACUUGGCUCGAGUUUUAUAAGGUUGCAGAUGCAGCUGUACCAUUUUAGUUAAAAGCAACUUUCAAAAGACGCCUUUGGAGUUUGAUUUGAUAUUAGGCAAAAGCGGACUUUUGUUCAGUUCUAUAUUGCUGCUGACAAUUCAAAAGUGUGGAACCGUCCCACUCACAGCCGUCACCCAUCCUCAGUUUCUUCCACCCGUCGUGUGCCUAAAUACGCCUCCUUGGGACAAUCACACAAGUCAUCAGCGGCUGCUGUGGUUAAUUCUUUGCUGUUGUCCUCGAUGUGCUUCUGUUCCCCGCUUGCUGGGCCUUCAUCCGCUAAAUCUUUUUAUUUUCUGCUCCCUUACUUUAAGAUUUACUCCCCCCCCCCAAGCCAGAUAAUCAUAAUUCAAGCGCAGCGAUUGCGAUUAAUUUAAAAACGUCUAAGACUCUUUUGUAUGGACAAGUAGGGGUGUUAGUUAAGACUCAGUUACCUUCUUGCACCGAACACAGUACCAUUUAAGCCAUACAAAAAUAUUUAUAAAUUUCCUAUACAUAUUUUUGUAUCAAAUUGCUCCUGCUUUUUUAUGCUCAAAUUAUAAUUCAGCAUAAACACUUUUAUAUUUGCACACUAUAAACAUGCAAGUGGAACUGUAUAUUGCUAUAUUAUUUUGAAGAGUUUAUAUUUGCGUGAGAGUUGUAGUCCUGGAAAGUGUUGCUAUUUCCAUUCAUAUGCUGCUUUGCUUUGGGUCGUCCCAUGGCCUCUCCCAAACGUAUUUUUAAUUUUAACUCGUAUAACAGCCUUUAAAGUAGGUAGACAGUAGGUACCUACCUCUCUCUUGGUCUUCCUCCCAUUGCUCCGUGUCUGAUGCCGGGCUUCAGCAGUGGGGGUGUUGGGGGAGGAGUGGGUGGCCAGGUUUCUGCUCCUCCUCGCCCUUUUAGACCCAGCCGAUAUGUCCCGGUGUCGGCAGCCACAACCUUCCUCGUCGGAUCCACCACGCUCUUCUUCUGCUUCACCUGUCCAUGGUUGUACGAGUAUUUCUCCCCAGUCAUUCCCAUUUAUAUUGCCGUGAUUUUCCUCUUCACGCUGGCCAACUUCUGUAUGGCUACGUUCAUGGAUCCUGGAGUCUUCCCCCGAGCGGAGGAGGAUGAGGACAAAGAAGAUGAUUUUCGUGCUCCGCUCUACAAGACGGUGGAGAUCAAAGGCAUUCAGGUGCGCAUGAAGUGGUGUUCCACCUGCCGCUUCUACCGACCCCCACGCUGCUCACAUUGCUCGGUCUGCGACAACUGUGUGGAGGACUUUGACCACCACUGUCCUUGGGUGAACAACUGUAUUGGUCGGCGCAAUUAUCGCUAUUUCUUCCUCUUCCUGUUGUCACUCACCACCCACAUCGUGGACGUUUUUGGCUUUGGCCUCGUUUAUGUGCUCCACCACCGCCAGCGACUCGACACACCACAUGCAGCUGUGACUAUGGCUGUGAUGUGUGUUGCUGGUCUUUUUUUUGUCCCAGUUGCUGGACUGACUGGGUUCCAUAUUGUGCUCGUGGCUCGAGGUCGAACCACAAAUGAGCAGGUGACAGGAAAGUUUCGUGGAGGCGUUAACCCCUUCACCAAUGGCUGCGUGACGAAUAUUUCACAUGUACUUUGCAGCUCACUGGCACCCAGAUAUACGGGUCGUUCUCGGAAGCCUCAGACAGUCGAACUACAGCCCCCCUUCCUCAGGCCACCUCUCACAGAGGCGCAGCUAGAAGCCAAGGUCCUGGACAAUGGUAUCCAGAAUGAUCGACACAGCACAAGAUCAAAGAGCAGUUUGGAUCAAAUGGAGAGCCAGUCGGCAGACACAGAGCCUCCACCUCCCCCGAAGCCAGACCUUCGUUAUCCUGGGCUGCCACGUGGUGACGCUGAGGAAAGCAGCUUGUUGACAGAAGGUGUGCCCACACAGUCCAUGUACAAGUAUCGACCCGCGUACAACAGCCCAGGAAGGAACCACAGUGCCCACACACAUGCUGGCAAGGUGAUCCGCGGGGAGAGUCUCGACUCUCCGUCGCCCUCUAUUCUUCACUCCAGCCACCAUCCCAGUUACCGUUCGGAACCGAGCAGCCUGGAUGGGGCCACGGUGGUGGGGGGUGGUGCGGGAGCAUUCAGAGGGGGAGGGGAGAGGGGUGAGGGCCCCGGAGGCUUAGGCAGGACUGUCGGUGGGGUGUCAGGGGGCAUGUCGGGUUACUCCCUGACCGGGCGCUCCCACACUUCGUACCCAUCCUCUCUGGUUCUGUCCACCGGGGGCUCACACUCCUCCAGCCUGCGCUCGGCGCACCUGGCACACAAUCCUCUGGCCACCCUCCAGUCAGAAGGAACUACAGACACCAGCUACAAAAGUCUGGCUAACCAGACCCCUCGGAAUGGCAGUCUGUCCUACGACAGCCUGCUCACGCCAUCCGAUAGUCCCGAGUUCGAGUCUGCCGCCCACGAGUUGUCGCCACAGAAGUCUCGUGCGCCGUUCCCCUCUGUGACAGGGGCUUCGGUCAGAGGCCAGCCUGAGACGGUGUCCCCCACUUCUCCGAUGCAGGGGUAUACGUCGCCCUUCCUCUCAGCCCAGCUCAGCCAACAGAGGGAGGGCCAUCUGCUCCAAGGCUCCGCCACUUUUUCCUCCCCCCACAGGGCCUACCUUCGUGCCGUCAGCCCGCCCCCUCCUUCUGGGCCCCCUGAGACGCUGCACCUGCUACAGUAUAACCACGACUCCUCCUCCAGAGUCCCCCGUAACUCUGUGUCAUCGUCCUCCUCCCCGGCGGCUCGCUCGCCGGAGCCUCCUAUCUCCCCGCCGCCUCGCGGCCUCUCCCUGGGGAAGCCCCAGUCUUACACUGGGGGGGUGGGGCCCCAGCAAAAGUUUCGGGCCACGGUGGCGCUGGGCGGGGGAGGAGCCGGAGGAGGGCAUCAGGCGCCACAGUGAGUAACGAAUACGUCAUCGUCGUCCCGCACAGCCUGCUCCUCUUCCUUUUCCCGUUCUUCCUAACCGACCUCUUUUCCUCUGAACCUUGUGUCAGCCAUCCUCUUCCUCCCUGAUCUGUAUCGUCCUCUCGUACAAUCUUGGCCAAUCACACGACCUCUAAACCAGGGGGCGGAGUGAAGAAGGUGACCGGCGUCGGAGGGACCACUUACGAGAUAUCGGUUUGAGUGACAUGCAGUCUAUUCCACUGAGGAGGAGGAAAGCAAAGUCACUGGACAACUAACACGCGUUCUUCUCAGAGCUGGAUGUUAUUCAUGACUGCAGAGCCAAAAGCACCGCUGCAUGUGCACCUGCCUGUCCGGUACCGACUGGCCUCUUCAAUCUGGACAAAGACUGUAUGUACAUGGUUCUUGUUUCACAAGUCACUUUGUGAUGCACAGACCGUUUGGGGGAGCUGUUUCUUCAAGGACAGAACAUGCACAGAUGCUGUUUGAUGUGGGUACAAUAGGACACGGUAUUUUUGACACUUGAGGGUAGCCGAUUGAAUUUUAGGGGUUUUAGGAGUGUUGACCAAUGACGACUGUCUCGUUGUAUGGACCACACAGCCUGGUGAGUGAAAAGCAUCGAACCUAUAAAACACAGUAUCAUUUUAGUUUUCUAAGUCCUUAUUUUUAAAUAUUAUUUUAUAUAAAUGUGUAAGAUCUUACAGAUUAUUAUUGGGUCCUGUCGUCAGGUAUUGAAGAUGACUUAUCAACGAGGGUGGCAAAUGUAUAAUGUGUAUAAUUGUUUAUUUUUGAUUACAAAUGUGUUGCCUGUGUAGAAUUGAAGGCUGCAUCAGCCACUCGUGAGCUCUUGCCGAAAUUGUAACAAUCCAAAGAGUCGACCUCUGACGUGGCAAACAAUUGAGCUUUGUUUUCAAAAGCCACAGAAAAUCUUGGAGUGGAACGCAUCUUCGUUGAAUGUACCUGUCCAUGUAAUCUUUGUGUGUUUGAGGCAUUAUGCAAAAUCAGUUUUGUAGCUUUAAGAUCAUUGUCUUGUUUCCGAUGCUAGCAGAAUCGUUUUGAAUCCUUUUCAUGGUUGUCCAGCCAGUUAGGGACAGCGAGGGAUGGGCUCAUUUAUUUGAACUUGUAGUUCAGCUAAAACAUUUUAAACAGGUCUCUUAGUUGUUUUGAAAGCUUGGAUACAAUUUUGAAUUUUUUUUUUUUUUUUUUGUUUAAAGAGAUAAAACUGCUGUUACUCCAUGUGAUCGUCUAAAACAAAUUAAAUCCCCAUUUUGAAUAUUUAAAAAGAACCGGAAAGAGAGUAGGCUUGUGCUUUUUGGCUGCCACUUCAUCCACUUUUUCAUUUAAGUUUAGUGCUUAAAUCAGGAUCCCUCGCCGUACCGUGGCCAGAGGUAGAACCCAGCUGGGUUCAGCCGGCCAACACUUAUCUGCCACACUGUGUUGGAUCAACUUUAAUUUUUUUCUGCCGUGGUCACCCCUUCCAGCGAUGACUCCUUUAUGGCUUCGGUUGUGGCGCUGCCAUGAACAACUGUGCAUCUCCUCGGCUAUCAGAUGCCUCCUUUAAGAGAGAUCUCGGUGGAGGGUUAUAGCUAUUUGAAUCUGUGAUCCAUGACUACAAGAGCUACGCGCAGGGUAGUCAAAAUGGUGUCGGCCAUCAACACAGGCCAAAAAUUGUGGCAAUAUUGUAUUUUUGAAGUGAAUGCAGCGUGGCAGCUUUUGCCAGAAUGAAAUAAGUAGAAUAGAUAUAAGAUUCUUUCUUUUUCCAGUCUGAAAAUUCUGAUUCGCCGAUCGCUUUUCCACACCCACUAGAAUCCCAAUUUGAGUCACCACCGAUUAGUGCACAGCCCUACUGUUUUGCAAUGAAAGUAUUGGAUUUAUUUUUCUUCCUUUAGACCAUUUAGCUUAAAGCAAGCACAUUUUUGCUCCCCCCACCUUUGCUGACGUGUAUAGCGGGUCUGAUUUUUUUAUUUACACUCAAAUGUCUGUAAAGGUACAAGUGACUUUUGAAAACCCACAGCCAUGUUGAGGAGGAAUCAAAUACGGGUUAUGUGAGUUCGUUUGUUCCAGUUGGGUGUUACAAUUAAAUUCAAUUGCUACCCCCUCUAUCAAGGACCUGAAGAAAUUCAGCAUGUCUUGGGAAGUGUACAUUUUAUUUUUUUAACCCAAGGGGGACUGUUAGACAUUUUCAAAUUUGCCAGGCAGUGUCUUCAUCAUGCACGUGUUUCUUGUUCAUGCUGAUUGUUUCCCUGGUGCGCAAACAUGAGACUUUUGUCCCCCUUUCCCUGGGAUCACAAUUGAGGAGUCAUCACUAAUGGCACAAACAGCUGAUGAAGAGAUUAAGGAACCUGUGUUACUUUCCUCCUGCUCAUGCCCAAGGAUGACACCUGCUGCACAAUUCCAACCUAUGUGAGUAUGUUGACAAUACUUCGUUGUGAGAAUAAAUAUUGCUCGUGGGAUUGGAAUGAGUUUCACAAAUAUCUGUAACACAUUUAAGACUUUUCCAAAAUGGCCUUAAAGAUUUUUUGAAGAUGUCUUCUCACAAUAAAAAGGUCAAACUGA